UUCUCCAUGGCCAAAUGGUUAAGGCGUCCGACUGUUAAUCGGAAGAUUCCAAGUUCGACCCUUGGUGGGGAAG
rfam:Pseudallescheria apiosperma strain IHEM 14462 SEQ_SAPIO_0085, whole genome shotgun sequence.